CAGUCGCCACGGUAAUACGAAGGGUGCAAGCGUUAAUCGGAAUUACUGGGCGUAAAGCGUGCGUAGGCGGUGAGUUAAGUCCGUUGUGAAAGCCCUGGGCUCAACCUGGGAAUUGCAGUGGAUACUGGGUCACUAGAGUGUGGUAGAGGAUAGUGGAAUUUCCGGUGUAGCAGUGAAAUGCGUAGAGAUCGGAAGGAACAUCUGUGGCGAAGGCGACUAUCUGGGCCAACACUGACACUGAGGCACGAAAGCGUGGGGAGCAAACAGGAUUAGAUACCCGCGUAGUCCCUGUCUCUUAUAC
rnacentral:rRNA from 1 species